AUGUAUGAACAGAGUAAGAUGGACAGAAAUGAGGAAUGUCUGAUGCAUUCAUUUACUGUUCAUGACCUGACACAAGAGAAGAAGAAACUCCAGGCCAGCUAUGAGAAGUUGGUUGAAGAUCUCAAUGCACUUAUGGAUGCCCAGGAGCAGAGGGCAGUGAUAGAAAGGAAAGAUGCUGAAACAACCAUGUUGCAGGAGAAGUAUGACACUUUGAAGAACAUAGCAGCUGCUCAAGGUACUGUCAUUAGGAACAUGAAGUUGAAGCUAGCUGAAGAGAAGAAGAAUUUGCAGAUCCACAUUGAUGAGCUCAAGAAGACAGUUGAAGAGAGCAAUGUGAAGCUGGAGGGGAUCAAGGCCAUCAUAAAUGGAUAA
rnacentral:rRNA from 1 species